rnacentral:lncRNA from 1 species
AAUUUCCUCCGUUACACAGUGGUUAAGAGAAACAGCAUAUCCUAAGAUCACAGAAGGAAUGGCUACUGAACUGCACAUGAAGCAAAACUGCUGUUAGCCAGGAAAGCCCUCCAAAAGCCUCCAUGCAACGCAUCAUAGUCCAAUACAAGCGGAGAAGAAUGCUCCUUAAAAAGUUACAAGGAUGAGGAACAGCCAGAACACGAGAUUUUCCUGGGAAUCAAUCCAAGAAGUGGUGGUGGAGGCUUGCUAGUUAAUCCGUUUGUUAAAAGGAGUGCUUUUUCAGCCUGCAGCAUUAUUCCCUUAUUUUAUUCAUUGGGCCUUUUCAUGUGUCUCUGGGUCCUCAAGGCAAAAGUUGCGGUUUCUAAAAGGAGAUGGGGUUUACGACGACUUGUCAGCAUCCUGAGAACGCAGACGGCGAUUGUUUGUUCCGCAGUGACUAUCCGUGUGUGUCAGCCCUUUCCCAUACGCGGUUUUUGCAGGGCUAAG